AGAUAUACUGGCAAACGAGCCACUGAGUUUUCGCCAGAAUUUGAGUGGAUGGUUGCCACAACAAGGUCGAGGAAACUGGAGUGUUUGCUGGCGAGCAACAAGAGAUGGUUUUGAUGUCAAAAGUUUCCACUCUAGAUGUGACAGGAAAAAACCGACUUUGACCUUAAUAAAAGUGGUCACGAAUAACAGAAAUUUAAUAUUUGGAGGAUAUGCUGCUGAAUCAUGGGAUGGUAAGUGUAAGUUGUAAAUUAUCAUAGCAUGCAUAAAUCAUUUUUGUAAGGACAGCUACUGCUACUCUUAUAAUCGGGAAACUUACAUGAGU